rnacentral:lncRNA from 1 species
AGAAAACUACCGGCCCAAUUUAUGCACAAAACAGUGAACAAAAAAUAUAUAUAUAACCACUGAAUUACACGCUCCUGGCUUUGGACAGGCACAUACAGAAUAUGGCGGGAUUAAACAUGUUAGCGGGCACCCAACCCACCACCUAACCGUACAUUAAAUGUCGUAUGGUAAAAACUUUCAAAAAUGCUAUCAAAUUAGAAAUCGGACGUGUGUAUCUGUAUGCUUAGCCAUAUUUGCAUCUGUCGAGUUAUUGUAUUUUCCUACCUUUGAUAACUAUUCCUACCAAUUUACACUUUCGUAUACAUAAGGAUUUUUUUACAUGUACAAAUUUCCUCCAAGAGUGUUUCGACAAUAUAACGGAUAUUAUGGGUUGCUGUCUGCAUGUUAUGGUGGGAAAUUAUUAUUUUCAUACAUGCAUAUUGGUUAUAAUCAUACCAAAGCAUAAUUUAAUACAUGCAAAAUUCAUUGACAAACGCAAUAUUGUGUCAACGAAGCGUACAGUAUAAAAAGGUGUAACGACAACGAAGCGUACACAACAUGAAAAUAAAGACACUUUAAAACGUGUAUUUUUUUGUUUCUAGAUACAACAA